rnacentral:rRNA from 1 species
CGGCCACAUUGGGACUGAGCCACGGUCAAACUCUCUACGGGAGGCAGCAGUAGGGAAUCUUCGGCAAUGGACGAAAGUCUGACCGAGCAACGCCGCGUGAGUGAAGAAGGUUUUCGGAUCGUAAAACUCUGUUGUUAGAGAAGAACAAGGAUGAGAGUAACUGUUCAUCCCUUGACGGUAUCUAACCAGAAAGCCACGGCUAACUACGUGCCAGCAGCCGCGGUAAUACGUAGGUGGCAAGCGUUGUCCGGAUUUAUUGGGCGUAAAGCGAGCGCAGGCGGUUUCUUAAGUCUGAUGUGAAAGCCCCCGGCUCAACCGGGGAGGGUCAUUGGAAACUGGGAGACUUGAGUGCAGAAGAGGAGAGUGGAAUUCCAUGUGUAGCGGUGAAAUGCGUAGAUAUAUGGAGGAACACCAGUGGCGAAGGCGGCUCUCUGGUCUGUAACUGACGCUGAGGCUCGAAAGCGUGGGGAGCAAACAGGAUUAGAUACCCUGGUAGUCCACGCCGUAACGAUGAGUGCUAAGUGUUGGAGGGUUUCCGCCCUUCAGUGCUGCAGCUAACGCAUUAAGCACUCCGCCUGGGGAGUACGACCGCAAGGUUGAAACUCAAAGGAAUUGACGGGGGGCCCGCACAAGCGGUGGAGCAUGUGGUUUAAUUCGAAGC